AACAGUUUUAACUCUGGCUUUGAGGGUAUAAACCCGGAGAAUUUGACAUGGUGUGUCUGUUUGGAGGUGAUACCCAUGCUAGGUGACGGGCGUGUGGAUGUAUACCUCUAAGGAUUGAGACUUGGUCCGUCCCAUGAGGCCUCAUGCCAUCAUCUGUGUUUACGUAGUUACUUGUUGUUGAACUUGUUUGCCUUCAUGUUAGAGAUCAUGCUUAGGCUUUAUUCAUUCUCACAUUAUUUGUACUCAGACAUAGAAAUUAUUGUACAUGUUUACCUCAACCUCUAUUAUUUGCUAAGAUGCUGUGAUACUUGAUGUAGGUUGUGUCCACUUAUUUGUUAAUGAUGGUGAGUAUAAUGAGGUACAUGAUUGAGUAAGACCGAGGGUCUGGCUAUGAGGAUAUUAAUACCAUAGCGCGUGAGUUGUCCAUGUAGCACGUGAGUUGAUCGUGGUGGUCCAGGUAUUGAUACCAUAUAGUCUCUAUUAUUUGGUAAUAUAUUGUGAUACUUGAUAUGGGCUGUGUCCCUUUAUUUGUUGAUGAUGGUGAGGUUAGUAAGGUACAUGAUUGAGUGAGGUCGAGGGCCUAGUAGUGAGGAUAUUAAUACCAUAGAGCGUGAGUUGUUCGCGUAGCACGUGAAUUGACCGUGCGGGUCCAGGUAUUGAUACCAUAGGGCGUGAGCUGUCCGCGUAGCACGUGAGUUGACCCUGAGGAUCCAGGUAUUGAUAUGAUGGCACGUGAGUUGUCCGUGCUUAGCGCUUGGGUUUAGGGAGCCCCUCCGGAGUCUGUACACACCCCUAGUGAGCGUAGAGUGUUGAGUGUAUUGAGUGUUGAGUGUUGAGUGCGAGUGAUGAGCGAUGGAGUGACAUUGCUGUGAGGUUGCAUUUAUUUUUGAUGUUGUUGCAUUUUUACCUGUUAAUUUCUUUGUGACAAUUACUGAGUUAUGGAGUUUACCUGUUUAUUCCUGUUAUUUUUAAAUUGUGAAAAAUAAAUAAUUGGGCUAUUUUACUUAGCUCGUCACUACUGCUUAGUUCCUUUGUUAUUUCUGUUACUACUGAGGUGGUUGUACUCAUACUACACCCUGCACUUUAUGUGCAGAUCCAGGUGAGUUAGAGCGCGGCGGCGAUCAUAGAGUUCAGGCCGGCUAUCUGUUGAGACUGCAAGGUAGCUGCUAGCAUCUGCAUGGCCUUGGUACUCCUUUUGUCAUUUCUUCUUUUGGACAGUCAGAUAGUUUAUAUAUCUUAGUUUGUAGUUUUAGACACUCAUGACUUAGUGACACUCUGAUGUUUGGGGCUAGCUUCCGUAUUUUUAUAUUAGUUAUAUUUAGAGUUGAUUUAGUUUAUAAAAAAUUUGAAUGUUGGUAUUAUUUUAUUAAAUCCUUAAAAAUUAAUUAGUAGUAAUAUUUUGAGAAAUAAAUUUGCCUUGUAACACGAUAGGCGUUACUACAACUGUGAUUAGAUUUUAGAUCGUGACAUCUAAUCACUUUAUGGCACACUCGUAAACUCAGUAAAAUAUAUACACGACCAUGGUUAGAUUUUGGGUCGUGACAAGUUGGUAUCAGAGCCAGGUUACAUAGGUCUCACCAGUCAUGAGCGUGUUUUUUAGAAUCUUGCAGAUCGGUACGGAGAUGUCUGUACUUAUAUUCGAGAGGUUGCAGAACCUUUAGGAAAACUUCACCUUCUUGAAUUCUUAUCGUGCGGUAUUGAUUCAGCUUGAAGUGUUACUCUUUGAAUUUCUUUCACGCAUUCGUAUGCGCACAUGAGUGCUCGGUAUCAAUUGUGCAUCGACGGAUUGUGAUUCCCUUGGUGGGUACGUGAUGAGUAUGAUGUGACUGCGAGAUGAGUUCAUAUGAUUUGAAUGUGACGAGAAGGUAUUGCUUAGGUAUGUUUUUAGACUCGUCCGAGGACGAAUGUUCAUUUAAGAGGGGGAAGAUGUAGCAACCCGGUCGUUUGUCCUGAGAGUUAUAGCUCCAUUUUCCUCAUCUAUGCUUAUUUAUGUGUUGUUCAGCUCUGUUGAGUUGUAUCGAGUUGGUAGGUUUGGGUUCGAAGUAGUUUCGGAGGGAAAUGAUCACUUAGUCUCUUAGUUAGAAAGCUAAGUUAGAAAAGUCAAUCGGAAGUUAACUUAUGAGUAAACGAAUCGAAUUUGGAUUUUUAUGAUUCGAUUAGCUUCGUUGGGUGGUUUUAGACUUAGGAGUGAGUCCCGAAUAUAAUUUGGAGGUCCGUGGUAGAAUUUGGCUUGAAUUGGCAAAAGUUGGAAGCUUAGAAGUUCUUAGGCUUGAAUUCGAGGUUGAUUUGUUAUUUUGGGAGUUCCGGAGGUCCUAGUAAGCUGGGGUAGUGAUAUAUGAUUUACUGGAAUUAUUGGUUGAGGUCCCGAGAGCCUCGGUGAGUUUUGGAUAGGUUUGGGUUGUGUUGCGCUUGUUUUUCUUAUGUUUCGACGUCGUUUUUCUAGCAUAAAUGAUACCAUAUUGAGCAAAUGAACUCCGAUUUUUUUUAAUUGAAGCAUUAGAUCCGUAUCGUAAUUAUGGACCUGUAGCAAAAAGAAUCAUCGAAUUUGGACAUCGUAUGGGGAUUUUAUGGUAUUUUACUAAGAAUUAAGUUGUCAGAUUUUUCAGAUUAAUUACGAAAUUGCCACAACGUAUUUAAAAAUUUGCACUAUUUGUAAAUAUUAAAACCUACAUAUCCCAUUCAUUAUAAGGUCAAAUUGAGUUAUUCAAAAGCCUAACUUGAUUAAAAUUUCACAAGGAAUCCAUUGGAGGCAUAAAAUAUAAAUUUCGGGAUUGUUUGACACGAAAAACGAGGCAGAACAGCUGGUAAAAAACUAUUUAAAAAAAUUAGGUUUGUUCAUUCGACCAUAUUUUGAGUUAGGGAGCUCGGAUUUGGGAGAUUUUAGAGGCGAUUUUCACCAUAUGGUUUGGGGUAAGUAUUCUUUACUCCGUUUUGAUUAUAUUUCAUGAAUUCAUCUUCGUUUUUGGGAUUUUAUUGAUGAUUUCAAAGUGAAACUAAGGGAAUUAGGGUUUGAGUUUUGGAGAGUUUUAAGUGAGUAUUUGAGGGACCAAACAAAGUCUGAUUUUGAUAAAUUUUAUAUGGUUGGAAUCGGGAGAGGACGAGGAUUAUUAUUCUACCAUUUUUAACUAAUUCUAAGAUGUGAAGUUCGAUUUUGAUAAAUUUUAUAUGGUUAGACUCGGGAGAGAACGAGGUUUAUGAUUAUACCUUUUUUGACUGAUUCCGAGUUGUGGGUCCGGGGCCGGGUUUUGCCGAUAUGGAUUUUUUUUUAUAUUUUGUAGUUUUUAUUGUGGAAUUCAAUUCUUUAGUACAUGGUGAUGGUAUUAAUCUGAUCAUGGUUAGAUUCGGAGCUUUUGGGGACCGAGUCCAGAGAUGAGGGCAUCCAGAGUAGGAUUUUAUGCGGUGGAGGUAAGUAACAGUUUUAACUCUGGCUUUGAGGGUAUAAACCCGGAGAAUCUGAUAUCAUGUGACUGUUUGGAGGUGAUACCCAUGCUAGGUGACGGACGUGUGAGUGUAUACCUCUAGGGAUUGAGACUUGGUCCGUCCCAUGAGGCCUCAUGGCCAUCAUCUGUGUUUACAUAGUUACUUGUUGUUGAACUUGUUUGCCUUCAUGUUAGAGAUCAUGCUUAGGCUUUAUUCAUUCUCACGUUAUUUGUACUCAGUCAUAGAAAUUAUUGUACAUGUUUACCUUAGUCUCUAUUAUUUGGUAAUAUAUUGUGAUACUUGAUAUGAGCUGUGUCCCCUUAUUUGUUGAUGGUGGUGAGGCUAGUGAAGUACUCGAUUGUGUGAGGUCGAGGGCCUGGUAGUGAGGAUAUUAAUACC
rnacentral:lncRNA from 1 species